AGUCGAGGGGUAUAGGUUUUCGGACCUAGAGACCGGCGCACGGGUGCGUAACGCGUAUGCAAUCUACCUUUUACAGAGGGAUAGCCCAGAGAAAUUUGGAUUAAUACCUCAUAGUAUUAUUGAAUGGCAUCAUUUAAUAAUUAAAGUCACAACGGUAAAAGAUGAGCAUGCGUCCCAUUAGCUAGUUGGUAAGGUAACGGCUUACCAAGGCAACGAUGGGUAGGGGUCCUGAGAGGGAGAUCCCCCACACUGGUACUGAGACACGGACCAGACUCCUACGGGAGGCAGCAGUGAGGAAUAUUGGUCAAUGGGCGCAAGCCUGAACCAGCCAUGCCGCGUGCAGGAUGAAGCAUCUAUGGUGUGUAAACUGCUUUUGUACGAGAAGAAACACUCCUUCGUGAAGGAGCUUGACGGUAUCGUAAGAAUAAGGACCGGCUAACUCCGUGCCAGCAGCCGCGGUAAUACGGAGGGUCCAAGCGUUAUCCGGAAUCAUUGGGUUUAAAGGGUCCGUAGGCGGUUUUGUAAGUCAGUGGUGAAAGCCCAUCGCUCAACGGUGGAACGGCCAUUGAUACUGCAAGACUUGAAUUAUUAGGAAGUAACUAGAAUAUGUAGUGUAGCGGUGAAAUGCUUAGAUAUUACAUGGAAUACCAAUUGCGAAGGCAGGUUACUACUAAUGGAUUGACGCUGAUGGACGAAAGCGUGGGGAGCGAACAGGAUUAGAUACCCUGGUAGUCCACGCCGUAAACGAUGGAUACUAGCUGUUCGGAGCAAUCUGAGUGGCUAAGCGAAAGUGAUAAGUAUCCCACCUGGGGAGUACGUUCGCAAGAAUGAAACUCAAGGAAUUGACGGG
rnacentral:rRNA from 1 species